rnacentral:tRNA from 1 species
UAUAUAUAUUAGUAUAAUUAUAAUACAUUUAAUUUCCAAUUAAAAAAUUUUAAACUUAAAAUAUAUAAUUAUUU